rnacentral:rRNA from 2 species
UGGGCGUAAGCGCGCGCAGGCGGUUUCUUAAGUCUGAUGUGAAAGCCCACGGCUCUACCGUGGAGGGUCAUUGGAAACUGGGGAACUUGAGUGCACAAGAGAAAAGCGGAAUUCCACGUGUAGCGGUGAAAUGCGUAGAGAUGUGGAGGAACACCAGUGGCGAAGGCGGCUUUUUGGUCUGUAACUGACGCUGAGGCGCGAAAGCGUGGGGAGCAAACAGGAUUAGAUACCCUGGUAGUCCACGCCGUAAACGAUGAGUGCUAAGUGUUAGAGGGUUUCCGCCCUUUAUUGCUGCAGCUAACGCAUUAAGCACUCCGCCUGGGGAGUACGGUCGCAAGACUGAAACUCAAAGGAAUUGACGGGGGCC